rnacentral:miRNA from 1 species
GCUCCCAUUUGACCGGAAGGAACCCCUUCCGGUCAGUGAGGAAGCUAAACCUCAUUGACCGGAAGGGAUUCCUUCCGGUCAAUGAGGGAGA